GGAUGAGUGGUCGAGUGGUUUAAGGCGUCAGUUUUGAAAACUGAUGUAUUUAUUUAAAAAUACCAUGGGUUCGAAUCCCAUCUUGUCCU
rnacentral:tRNA from 1 species